UGACUCUACCAAUGGGAACCUUAGGAAAGAGGAGGAGACGAAUUGGCUGCUGCUAUUGAAGGUCUCCUACCUCACCCUAAUUUGGAGAUAUUGAACAUCUGGGUUAUCCCCGGUUUAAAGCUUCCGAAGUGGGUGGGUUCAUCUUCUUGUCUUCCAAACUUGGUGGAAUUAAGACUUGUAAACUGCAACAGCUGUCGAAAUCUUGAAGGCCUAGGUCACCUCCAAUGUCUUAGGGUUCUUAUUUCGUGUUUGGGCAUAGAGGAGUUUUAUUACCAGCAGGAAGACGAAGGAAACAAAGGUUCUGCAGAUACAACAACAUUCACUAACCAAAUUGAUCAUUUCUGGGAUAACUUAGAAGAAUGGGCUGUACCUUCACCACCUCAUAAUUGCUUCCCUUGCCUUGAGGAAAUAAGGAUCCACUGGUGCAGUAAUUUGACAUCUAUUCCAGAUUUACGAUUAUGGACUGCUCUCCCCUUUGUUCAAUACCUAUGGGUUGAUCCUGAUUUUGGUGAUUGUGAUGAUGAUGAUUCCAAUAAUUAGACGAGGGUGUAGAAGUAAAUCAGCUAGCCCUGCUAAAGUUCGCAUUAGCAAACAACAAACUUCAACAGGAUUCAAUUUGGAAUUGCAACGGAGCCAUCUAUAGAACACAUAUCCAGCACGUUAUUAGUUUUCGUUAAAAGCUUUCCUACAGUCUACAGAGAUAAAAAAAAACUACAUUUGUAUCGAGAAGUAAGGGGCUCACCGGAAGAGUUGAUUAAUUGGAGAUUUGAUUGGGUGAUGAGGGAUUGUGAGAGGUUGAGUAUGUGGGAGCUUGAGGAUGGCAAUUGGUUGAAUAUAUGAUUUGCCCCUCAGCAGGUGCUGGUGGUUGUGGUUUCAACCUAGUUGGGAUGACAGUCAUAGUGAUAUGCUUUCUCUUUCAAGUUGUAUUUUGCUUCGUUCAGAACCUUUUUUUUUUUUUUCAACUUAAUGGAGUUCUUCGUUCUGAUGGAUACCCAGAGUCUGUUAUUAUUCGCAACUGAAAAGUGGAAACAUGUAUAAAAGAUGCACAAAAAUUUUAAACAACCAUUUGGCUGCACCUCUUCUGUUAAUUCAGCAGGGAAUGUAGCAAUAUUUCGACAGGUUGCCCUUCCGGUCCUGUGAAUGGUGCAAUCUCUGAGCUUGCUGCUGUGCUACAACCUCUGCACGGAUAUCUGGAGGGACGGCUGCUAGGAAUUCAGGAUCUACAUCAUUUGCUGCUGUGCCACUUGACCUUGUUGAGCAGAUAGUGCUUCAGCAGGCAACUCUGAUAGUGCAUCCAGGAAUGCAGAACACUUUUUACCCGCUCCUUGAUCAGAAUUUUCAGAAACUUCCAUCUCUGCUACUAGGUGGCGCGGGUUUUGCU